rnacentral:rRNA from 1 species
UACAGAGGGGGCAAGCGUUGUUCGGAAUUACUGGGCGUAAAGGGCGCGUAGGCGGCCUUCUAAGUCGAACGUGAAAUCCCUGGGCUCAACCCAGGAACUGCGUCCGAUACUGGAAGGCUUGAAUCCGGGAGAGGUGAGUGGAACUGCGAGUGUAGAGGUGAAAUUCGUAGAUAUUCGCAAGAACACCAGUGGCGAAGGCGGCUCACUGGCCCGGUACUGACGCUGAGGUGCGAAAGCGUGGGGAGCAAACAGG